AUACAGAGGGUGCAAGCGUUAAUCGGAUUUACUGGGCGUAAAGCGCGCGUAGGUGGCUAAUUAAGUCAAAUGUGAAAUCCCCGAGCUUAACUUGGGAAUUGCAUUCGAUACUGGUUAGCUAGAGUAUGGGAGAGGAUGGUAGAAUUCCAGGUGUAGCGGUGAAAUGCGUAGAGAUCUGGAGGAAUACCGAUGGCGAAGGCAGCCAUCUGGCCUAAUACUGACACUGAGGUGCGAAAGCAUGGGGAGCAAACAGGAUUAGAUACCCUGGUAGUCCAUGCCGUAAACGAUGUCUACUAGCCGUUGGGGCCCUUGAGGCUUUAGUGGCGCAGCUAACGCGAUAAGUAGACCGCCUGGGGAGUACGGUCGCAAGACUGAAACUCAAAGGAAUUGACGGGG
rnacentral:rRNA from 1 species